GAGGCAGCAGGACCCGGCGCUACUGUGGAGCUGUCACUACAGUUACAGUAGCGCGGUGGGGUGAAGAGGCAGCGGGACCAGGCGUUAGUAAUGUUGAAUCCAGUACUUACAUCGCUGCAGCCACCCGCUGUGCCUGGAUGCCGCUGUGUGUCCUCCUGCUUCCAGCCCUCCCACAAUGCUAGGGAACUGGGGGAGGCAGUGGCGGAUUGGCCCCCCCCUCCCGUCGUCUGGGAAAUGUACCCGCAGCUGUGUGUCCUCCCGCUCCCAGCCCUCCCGUGAUGCCAGGAAACUGGGGGAGGCAGUGGCAGAUUUCCCUCCUCCCUGUCGUCUUGAAAGGGUCCCGCAGUGCCACCAGUGCAUGAAAUCCAGCGCCAGACCAUGGUGUCAGUGUGGAAGAGGAGACCCUGAAGGGGACUGCACUACUGGAGCAGGCCGAGCACAACGGCAAGCUGCUGCUGCUGGGAGCCCCGACCAGUCCCCUUCUGAGUCCCCCUCCCCUUCUCACACCCAUUCCCCCUCUCCUUCCCAGUCCCCUUCUCAGCCCCCCUCCCCUUCUGUCACCCAUUCCCCCUCUCCUUCCCAGUCCCCUUCUCAGCCCACCUCUCCUUCUGUCACCCAUUCCCCCUCUCCUUCCCAGUCCCCUUCUCAGCCCCCCUCCCCUUCUGUCACCCAUUCCCCCUCUCCUUCCCAGUCCCCUUCUCAGCCCCCCUCCCCUUCUGUCACCCAUUUCCCCUCUCCUUCCCAGUCCCCUUCUCAGCCCCCCUCCACCUCUCUUUACCAAUAACCCUCUCUGUCCCCCUCCACCUCUGUAGGACAAAGCACCACUCCGCCCACCUCACCCUCUCUUUCCCAUUCCCCCUCUCUGGCCCCCUCCCCCUCUGUGACCCAACCCACCACUCCGCCACCCUCCCCCUCUCAAUCUGACCCACCCUCUGUACCAAGCUCCCCCUUCCAGCCUCCUUCCACCAUCCAGUCUCCUUCCCCCAUCCAGCCUCCUUCCCCAAUCCAGCCUCCUUCCCCCAUCCAGCCACCAUCCCCCAUCCAGCCGCCAUCCCCACCUUCAGAAUGGGCAGCAGAGGCCCCGGAGGCACAUCUGGGAGGUGAUCAAGUGGCACAGGACAAUGUUGCAGUUGGAGAUCCCACAACUUUUGUGGGCAUUCUGGACACCAUGCGACAACACCUGCAUGGCUUACUCAGGAGUAUUGACCAGCUCCAAAAAUUUGCUUGAUUGUUUUUUAAAAAAAAUUAUUUUUCAGUUCAAAAAAAAAAAUUAUAUUGACAAACAAUAAAAACAAUAUAUUUCAAGUUAA